AUGAACGCUGGCGGCGUGCCUAACACAUGCAAGUCGAGCGAUCUCUCGGAGAAGAGCGGCGGACGGGUGAGUAACGCGUGGGUAACCUGCCUCAUACACAUGGGAUAACAUACCGAAAGGUAUGCUAAUACAGGAUAAUAUAAGAGAUUCACAUGGAUUUCUUAUCAAAGCUCCGGCGGUAUGAGAUGGACCCGCGUCUGAUUAGGCUAGUUGGUAAGGUAAUGGCUUACCAAGGCGACGAUCGAGUAGCCGACCUGACGAGGGUGAUCGGCCACAUUGGAACUGAGACACGGUCCAAACUCCUACGGGAGGCAGCAGUGGGGAAUAUUGCACAAUGGGCGAAAGCCUGAUGCCAGCAACGCCGCGUGAGUGAUGAAGGCCUUCGGGGUCGUAAAAACUCUGUCCUCAAGGAAGAUAAUGACGGUACUUGAGGAGGAAGCCCCGGCUAACUACGUGCCAGCCGCAGC
rnacentral:rRNA from 1 species